rnacentral:rRNA from 1 species
AUUGAACGCUGGCGGCAUGCUUUACACAUGCAAGUCGGACGGCAGCGCAGAGAAGCUUGCUUCUUGGGUGGCGAGUGGCGAACGGGUGAGUAACAUAUCGGAACGUACCGGGCAGUGGGGGAUAACUAAUCGAAAGAUUAGCUAAUACCGCAUAUCUUCUGAGGAAGAAAGCAGGGGACCAUUUGGCCUUGCGCUGUUUGAGCGGCCGAUAUCUGAUUAGCUAGUUGGUGGGGUAAAGGCCUACCAAGGCGACGAUCAGUAGCGGGUCUGAGAGGAUGAUCCGCCACACUGGGACUGAGACACGGCCCAGACUCCUACGGGAGGCAGCAGUGGGGAAUUUUGGACAAUGGGCGCAAGCCUGAUCCAGCCAUGCCGCGUGUCUGAAAGAAAGGGCCUUUCGGGUUGUAAAAGGACUUUUGUCCAGGGAAGAAAAAGGGCGGGGGUA